rnacentral:rRNA from 1 species
UACGGGGGGAGCAAGCGUUGUUCGGAUUUACUGGGCGUAAAGGGCGCGUAGGCGGUCAGCACAAGUCAGUUGUGAAAUCUCCGAGCUUAACUCGGAAAGGUCAACUGAUACUGUGCGACUAGAGUGCGGAAGGGGCAACUGGAAUUCUUGGUGUAGCGGUGAAAUGCGUAGAGAUCGGGAGGAACACCUGUGGCGAAGGCGGCCGACUGGGCCGACCCUGACGCUGAGGCGCGAAGGCGUGGGGAGCGAACGGG